rnacentral:rRNA from 1 species
GCGAAUUCACUAGUGAUUCAGGCCUAACACAUGCAAGUCGAACGGCAGCACGGAGCUUGCUCUGGUGGCGAGAAACGAACGGGUGAGUAAUAUAUCGGAACGUACCCUAGAGUGGGGGAUAACGUAGCGAAAGUUACGCUAAUACCGCAUACGAUCUACGGAUGAAAGUGGGGGAUCGCAAGGCCUCAUGCUCGUGGAGCGGCCGAUAUCUGAUUAGCUAGUGGGUAGGGUAAAAGCCUACCAAGGCAUCGAUCAGUAGCUGGUCUGAGAGGACGACCAGCCACACUGGAACUGAGACACGGUCCAGACUCCUACGGGAGGCAGCAGUGGGGAAUUUUGGACAAUGGGCGAA